CAGACCAUAAGGAGGUUAAAAAAUGACACAGACAGACGCACAAUAAUUAAACAAAUGUUGUGCAAGCACAUAAAAUAAUAAACAGACCCAGUUCAAGAUUUUUUUUUUUUCAUCAAAAUGAAAUGUAAAUAAACCUUAAAGUGUCACUCAUGAUGAGAAAUUUAAGGUUUUUCAAUCUGUCACGAUAAAAUUUGAGUGUUUUCUGAAGAGUUUCAUGAAUGAAUAUUGAUAUCAUAUCCCUAGAUUUAAUUCUGCAGCUGCAGUGAAUUAAACAAGGGGUUAAAUGCUUAUAUAUUAAAAUUUGGCUUCACGGCAGAGUGAUAAAAUUUGACAUUUAAAAGAUGUGACAUGGAGGCACGUUUUGCAGCACAUGUUGGAGGUGCAUCUUGGCUGGAGCUUGCAUUGCUGGUCUCAGAUUGUUCUUCCACAGAUGAGGCCACGUUUGCUGGAUUAAUUGUCUGUGAAUAAAUGCAAAAAAAACCAAAUGAAAGUGAUGAACACUGGCUGCUUCAGUGCAUGGUUUACAGCAUGGUUUAUCCUUUGCUUCAGAGCAGAACUUACCAAAAAUCAAAUCAAAAUAAACGAUGAGGCUUAACAAGACAUGGUUGCAGAUGGCACGAUACUGAUCGGAUGUUGAAAGUUGACUUCACUUACGCGGAUGGCGGAAGAACAUUCGUGAACCAGGCGAGGAGUGAGUAGUUUGGACAGGUAGAUCGAACAAUCUGGCCAGUUGGUUCAGUUUUUGCACUCUAGCGAUGGUCCUGGCUUUGGUUAAUCUAAAGAAAAAUGAUAUAAUAGAUAGAAACUUAAGAAUCUCUGAUAGUGAAGAAUUAACAAGGAAGGAGCAGCCAUACAUCUGACAUGAUCAUCAAAAAUAAAUUUGGCAGUCAGAGCUCCAGAUGUUGAGUGAUGCAUUGUGACUGAUAGACACUGCGGAUUUUCUUUAUCACCAACAACCUGUAUCCAGAAUAUACACACUUAAAAUAGGUUUGAGCCGCAUAUCAAUCGAUAUAUCGCAAAGCACCCCACGCCACUGGAAGAAAUAGAUGGUGUCAUUUGCCUGAUGAUCUGUUGGAAGAUAAGUUUCGGCGGUGAUAGGAGGUUGCAAAGGGCCUGACUUGUUCACGAUAAUAGUGAGAUUUUCUGUCCACUUGUAAAAUUUAACUUUCAUCUAAUUAAAAAAAAAAAAAAAAAAAAAAAAAAAAAAAAAAAAAAAAAAAAGGAAAAAAU